AGGACGAACGCUGGCGGCGUGCUUAACACAUGCAAGUCGAGCGGUAAGGCCUUUCGGGGUACACGAGCGGCGAACGGGUGAGUAACACGUGGGUGAUCUGCCCUGCACUUCGGGAUAAGCCUGGGAAACUGGGUCUAAUACCGGAUAUGACCUCCUAUCGCAUGGUGGGUGGUGGAAAGAUUUAUCGGUGCAGGAUGGGCCCGCGGCCUAUCAGCUUGUUGGUGGGGUAAUGGCCUACCAAGGCGACGACGGGUAGCCGACCUGAGAGGGUCG
rnacentral:rRNA from 1 species